UACACAAAUAUGAAGGCGGGCUGGAACCUCUCGGGGUUACAGCCUUGCUGAAUUAUUCACCCUUGUCUUUUGCGUACUUCUUGUUUCCUUGGUGGGUUCGCCCACCACUAGGACAAACAUAAACCUUUUGUAAUUGCAAUCAGCGUCAGUAACAAAUUAAUAAUUACAACUUUCAACAACGGAUCUCUUGGUUCUGGCAUCGAUGAAGAACGCAGCGAAAUGCGAUAAGUAGUGUGAAUUGCAGAAUUCAGUGAAUCAUCGAAUCUUUGAACGCACAUUGCGCCCUUUGGUAUUCCAAAGGGCAUGCCUGUUCGAGCGUCAUUUGUACCCUCAAGCUUUGCUUGGUGUUGGGCGUCUUGUCUCUAGCUUUGCUGGAGACUCGCCUUAAAGUAAUUGGCAGCCGGCCUACUGGUUUCGGAGCGCAGCACAAGUCGCACUCUCUAUCAGCAAAGGUCUAGCAUCCAUUAAGCCUUUUUUUCAACUUUUGACCUCGGAUCAGGUAGGGAUACCCGCUGAACUUAA
rnacentral:rRNA from 1 species